rnacentral:rRNA from 1 species
AUUGAACGCUGGCGGCAUGCCUUACACAUGCAAGUCGAACGGUCACACGUCUUCCGUUGCUGUCGAGUGGCGGACGGGUGCGUAAUACAUCGGCACGUGCCCGCUCCCUGUGGAUAACGGGGCGCUACCUUUACUAAUACCUCAUACGAUCUACGGUUUAGAACGGGGGAUCUUCGUACUUCGCGCUGGCGUUGCUGCCGCUGGCAGAUUAGGUAGUUGGUUGGAUAAAAGCUUACCAAGCCGACGAUAUGUAGCUGGUCUGAGAGGAUGAUCAGCCACACUGGGACUGAGACACGGCCCAGGCUCCUACGGGAGGCAGCAGUGGGGAAUUUUGGACAAUGGGCGAAAGCCUGAUCCAGCCAUGCCGCGUGAAGGAUGAAGGCCUUCGGGUUGUAAAAUGCUUUUGUACGGAACGAAAAGCCUCGUUCUAAUAAAGAGGGGUCAUGACGGUACCGAAAGAAUAAGCACCGGCUAACUACGUG